ensembl:lncRNA
CCCUUUUUGGUGUAUAACAUUGGGAUGCCUACCUCAACGGGUGCUCUGAGUUUUCAGUGAGAUACGGUCUGUAGAGUAGUGACUGUGAUGUCUGCGACAUAGUAAGCUCACAGUUCAUCAUGGCUAGUGUGACUGCCUCUAACCUUUUCCCAACUAAGCACUGGACCGUUCAGGAAGUUUCUGGGGAGCUUUGGUUUGCUUAUGGCUGCAGCACCUAACUAGAGAUGUAUGCUGGGGUGAGCGUUCAUUUCUGAGCCUCAGUUUGCUCAUCUGUAAAAUAGGAAUAAAAUAGCCUGCUCCUGUUGCCUGCCUUCCAGGGAAGUCAGAGCUUCAAGGAGUAGCUGCAGGUUGCCUUUAUUAACACUCCCAGCUCAGCCCUGCCCAGGGAGAGCUGUGUGUGUGUGUGUUUGUGUGUGUGUGUGUGGUGGGGAGGAGAUUGAGUAACAGUUUUGAUUCAACUGUUACAAAGCCAUUACUUCCAUUUUUCCAUUGGCUUAACCUUCCCCCUCUCAAGCUCCAGUGACCUCCUUUAACAAUUGCUGCCUCUGCUUAUCUUGUUGGGAUGUCAAAGAGAUAAUAUAUAUAAAGCCUCUAGCACAGAGCCUGGCGCAUGGUAGAUGUCUAAUAAAUGCUCUUUCCUUUCCUUCAAAAAAAAUUCCCAGCACUUCCUUGGGCACUGGGAUCACGUUAUUUUUUCUUUGAAAUUUACACUUUCUUUGCGUAUUAUAACAAUAACAGCUAUCACCUUUGCCCAGAAACUGCAUGGCUCCCUCCUCCUUGUUUUUCAGAAGUUGAGGGAGCCGUCCCUUCCUCAGAGCAGUCCUGCCGACCCCCUGAUGAAAAGCAGCACUGCAUGCUCACCCCAGCCCCACUCCAGUCCUAGGACACUCAGCACUGGCUGGGAACUCUCUUUUUCACCGAUGGAUUUUCCCUAUCUGCCUCCAGAGUGCUCAUCCUCCACUGGACAGAGCCAGGCCUGCAGCGGGUUCUCAGGAAAUAACUCUCUGUUGGGCAUCAGAGACUUUAGCAGUCAAUUUGCCUCCUUGAUUUCAUCCUCACAGCAAUGCUGCAGGGCUGUCUUCUUGUUCAGAUAAAGAAGCCGGCUCAGAGAUGUCACCUCUUGUGCCCAGGGCUGCAGAAGGAUGAUGUGGCAGACCUGAAUUCACACAGCGUGCUGUCUGGAUUUGCCGCCCUCUCCCUGCCCUGUAGCCUUUGGUUCCUGGGGAAAGCCUCCUUAUUAAGCCACAGGUCAUCCUGAAAACCAGGUUGAAUAAAGAAAUCACUCAACAAAGGACGCUCCUUCUCCAGCCUGAAGAGGCGCUGACGCCACCUACAGCCUGGAGACCGGCUCUGCAACCAGCACCUGCCAGCCAGUCUGGUGCUGGGGGGAAGAGAUUAGAAUUUAUAUGGGGCAUGGAGAACGGGCAGUCAACUCUCAAGGUGAAUACUUUCCCUGAUAAAUUGUAAACCAUUAAAAACAUGUUUAAAAAUUAUUUUGACUAAUGAGUUUUUGAAGAUUGUAGCAGUUGGAUUAAAAUUUGUGAACUACAUUUCUUAUAUAAAUAUAUUUUUUCUAGUGAGCACCUUCUAGGAUAUGGUCACAUCUUGUGUGUGUGUGUGUGUGUGUGUGUGUAGCAACCUCAAACAUUCAACCCAAAUCCAGAUUAGGUUAGUGGGUACAUGCUUAUCCACAUA